GUUGCUGGCGUCUGGGUUCUCUAGGAGCAGUACCUCGCGACUGUGACUUGCCGGCACUUGAGAGAGGCAGGCAAGAGCUUCGCCGCGAGUUGGAGACCGGCCUACCUAGUGAGAUGCUCAGCCAUCUGGAAUCAGCUCACCUUCUCAGCAAACAUGGCUCUUCCCAGGCACUUGAAUCACCAUCUGUCUCUUGAAGGUUGAUUGAAAACCAAACAAAGUAUGAAUUUUAGCAAAUAGAUCCUUUAUAAAAAAUUCAAGCAAAUGUAACUUCCAUAAUAUCUAUCUAAUUAAUAUAAAAAGUUGUAGAAUUCACAAGAUCAAUUGGAGACUUUAUUUUUGCUUGCAUCUGAGAUAAAAUGAAACAUUUUAAAUAUGUACAAGAGAAUAAUGAAGUAGAUUUUUAACUUAGCCAAGAGCUCUAAUUUUCUAACUUCUUUUCUGAAAAAUUUAAAAUAAUUUAGUGUGCCAGCAUGAACCCUUGGUCGCCUAGGCAAUAGAACAGGUUUCCAUGGAAAUACAUGGGUCUGUAUCAAAGAAAUACCUUAACUUUAAUGGUAUAAAAGAACAUCAUGUAAGGAAUACUGAUGCUUAUUGCUAACUCAAACUCUCGGUAAUGAUGGUCAGUCAUUCAUGCUACUAUUUGUUAAAUAUUGGUGAUUUUCAGCAGGAAAGCAACUUUAAAACUCCAAAUUACAUUAUAGUAGGUAAUAUUCUGUUUCCUUUUCUUCAUGCACUACUGGCCUUUAAUCCCAUGUGUAUUUUGACCUUUAUUGUAGAAAAAUAAAAGAUGUGCAUUUCCUAAUUACAUCAUACUUCAAAUUAAGUUUGAUAUACUGAGUUAUAAAACUUAAUUAUGCACCCCAGCCACACAGGCACCUGGGAGGCAGGCUGCCUGCACCCGGGAAGCUGCGUGGCAGGGAGCUCCUGCCUUUGGGCUGAACCCCAGCCAUGCAGGUGCCUGGGAGGUGGGCAGCUGGUGUCCGGGAAGCUGUGUGCCAGCCAUCAGGCCAGCCACCAGCCCACAGUCAAGAACUAUCACGGCCCAGGGAAGCAAUGACACAGUUAACCUGCCACACACUGGCCGCGGAGGCCCAUCUGGGGACGUGUGUGAAUCAUCCCAACAUGGAGAAACCCCUGGGAAUACAUGCCACACAAUGCGCUGCUCUUG